ACGAACGCUGGCGGCGUGCUUAACCCAUGCAAGUCGAACGGAAAGGCCCUGCUUUUGUGGGGUGCUCGAGUGGCGAACGGGUGAGCAACACGUGAGUAACCUGCCCUUGACUUUGGGAUAACUUCAGGAAACUGGGGCUAAUACCGGAUAGGAGCUCCUGCUGCAUGGUGGGGGUUGGAAAGUUUCGGCGGUUGGGGAUGGACUCGCGGCUUAUCAGCUUGUUGGUGGGGUAGUGGCUUACCAAGGCUUUGACGGGUAGCCGGCCUGAGAGGGUGACCGGCCACAUUGGGACUGAGAUACGGCCCAGACUCCUACGGGAGGCAGCAGUGGGGAAUAUUGCACAAUGGGCGGAAGCCUGAUGCAGCAACGCCGCGUGCGGGAUGACGGCCUUCGGGUUGUAAACCGCUUUCGCCUGUGACGAAGCGUGAGUGACGGUAAUGGGUAAAGAAGCACCGGCUAACUACGUG
rnacentral:rRNA from 1 species